rnacentral:RNase_P_RNA from 1 species
CCAGAGGGCCGGGCGGCCGCGGCGUGGCGGGUAACUUCCACGGCGAGGAAAGUCCGGGCUUCACGAAACGACGGUGCCGGCUAACGGCCGGCUGGAGCGAUCCAAGGGACAGUGCAACAGAAAGCAGGUCGCCCAGUCUUUACGACUAAGCCUUCGGGCGGGCGAAAUUGAAAGGGUGCGGUAAGAGCGCACCGCGCCUGCGGCAACGCAAGGCGGCACGGUAAACCCCACCGGAAGCAAGACCGAAUAGGGGCGGCGCGCAGCUUUGGCUGCUAGGCAGAUUUCGGCCGAGACCGCCCGGGUUGGUUGCUGGAGGAACGGAGCAAUCCGUUCCCUAGAGGAAUGGUCGCCCAUCUUCCGCAAGGAAGUGGACAGAACCCGGCUUACAGGCCCUCUGGCAUU